GUGGGGAAUUUUGGACAAUGGGCGCAAGCCUGAUCCAGCAAUGCCGCGUGCAGGAAGAAGGCCUUCGGGUUGUAAACUGCUUUUGUACGGAACGAAAAGACUCCUUCUAAUAAAGGGGGUCCAUGACGGUACCGUAAGAAUAAGCACCGGCUAACUACGUGCCAGCAGCCGCGGUAAUACGUAGGGUGCGAGCGUUAAUCGGAAUUACUGGGCGUAAAGCGUGCGCAGGCGGCUUUGCAAGACAGAUGUGAAAUCCCCGGGCUCAACCUGGGAACUGCAUUUGUGACUGCAAGGCUAGAGUACGGCAGAGGGGGAUGGAAUUCCGCGUGUAGCAGUGAAAUGCGUAGAUAUGCGGAGGAACACCAAUGGCGAAGGCAAUCCCCUGGGCCUGUACUGACGCUCAUGCACGAAAGCGUGGGGAGCAAACAGGAUUAGAAACCCUGGUAGUCC
rnacentral:rRNA from 1 species